AACAAAACUAAUCUAUUUUCAGUU
rnacentral:siRNA from 1 species